rnacentral:rRNA from 1 species
AUUGAACGCUGGCGGCAUGCCUAACACAUGCAAGUCGAGCGAGCGGCGGACGGGUGAGUAAUGUCUGGGAAACUUCCUGAUGGAGGGGGAUAACUACUGGAAACGGUAGCUAAUACCGCAUACCAUCAGAUGUGCCCAGAUGGGAUAAGCUAGUAGGUGGGGUAAAGGCUCACCUAGGCGACGAUCCGUAGCUGGUCUGAGAGGAUGACCAGCCACACGGGAACUGGGACACGGUCCAGACUCCGACGGGAGGCAGCAGGGGGGAAUAUUGCACAAUGGGCGCAAGCCUGAUGCAGCCAUGCCGAGUGUGUGAAGAAGGCCUUAGGGUUGUAAAGCACUUUCAGCGGGGAGGCGUUACCCGCAGAAGAAGCACCGGCUAACUCCGUGCCAGCAGCCGCGGUAAUAC